rnacentral:misc_RNA from 1 species
UUUUAAUCUAACAUGUGCCACAACGGUAAAAAUAACUUAGAAACCGAUUACCUAAAGUCACACGAGAGUUUUACAUUACAUGAAGAUUGAUUUGGGAGUAUUGUGUUACAAAUUAAAAUUUAAAUACAUUAUAGUUACAUACUCUUAAAUUGAUAUGCCAUUUAUGUAAUUUACCCAAAAUAAAAGGGAGAACAAAAAGAAGAAACUGAGAAAGAUCGAGAGGGAGAGAACUUAGAAAGAGAUUGAAUUUCCAUAAUUUCAUAUCAAUCUUUAAAUAUACGAAAAGUGCAACUCCUAUAUUUCAAUAACUGAAUAUAAUAACUUGCUUAACUAAUAAACCUUAUCAAACAAAAAUCUAACCCACUCCUCCCAUCAUAGAACCCUUAUCACAAAGAUAAAAUUGAAACAUUGCAAAGCCUUGUCUUCCUUGUUCGUUAGGAGAUUCAUAAGGCUGCUAUGAUUAAAUUUGAAACUAUUAAAAAACCUUUUGGCAUUUGAUUAUCAAUAAAAUGGAAUUCCACGAACAUAAUGAUUUCACCCGUUGUCUCUCAAAUUAGGAUGUCACAACAAUAUUAUCUCUACAUAAUUUUGUAUCACAACUUUUAAGAUCAUUCCUAUCAUAUUUUAGUUGUUAUUUCAGCGAGGUACUUCCAAACCACCUUAUUUUAUAAUAAUUUAAUAUUUUUUAAGUAACUUAAUGUCUCAUUUUCUCCUCUCCACUUCCCUUCUUCUUUCUUUCCUCUCCUUUUACUCUUCUCCAUCUUCCCCUAACCUACAAAACAUUCCCUCACCAACAAACCUAAAAUGAUGUUGUUUCUAUGGUGUUUCAAUCGAAACCUCUCAUAGGACUAACUUCUCCAUGACAUGCGGCCCUACCUCCCCAAAAUCCCUUUUUGCUAUGACCUCCCAAUUUGUAAUUGCCUUCUCUAGCAUUAGGAUUUCCUCCAAUGUCCGUCAUGUCUUGCACACCUAAGGCCUUGGCCCCAAUGGAAUCAUUAUUAACAUUACCGUAUUCGAUCCAUCCUGGACUCUCAGAUCUUCAUCAAGACAUUUCUUAAAAAUUGCUACUCCAUUGAUGCUCCAAUCUCCAGUAGCAAUCACAUUGCCAAUAACAAAACAAUCGUAACAUUCUCAAGAUGUGAUGAAGUAGUCACUGAUCUCUAGAAUGCUCCUCUUGGCCUUAUAGGAAAGGUUAAAUAUGCGAGUGCCUUAAGCAAAGACCAAUUUAUGAAGCUAACAAAUCAAAUAACUAUAACUUCCACAACGGUUAGCUUAAUGGAACGGAACAUUAAUGAAUAUAAGAUGGAAUAAUGUGGAACUAUGUACUUGCUCCAAUAUUGUCUACAAAUGGUUGUCAAUCUCACGUGCUCAAAUUAGAAUCCUAAGAAUUUCCUCUAUCCAUCUAUAAUGUUCCUAGGAUCAGUUGUUCUUGGUUGAUUUACUUCUCAUUUUGGCAAGUAAUCAACAAGUGCAAAAGUGUGUGUGUGUGUGUG